AACGAACGCUGGCGGCAUGCCUAACACAUGCAAGUCGAACGAGACCUUCGAGUCUAGUGGCGCACGGGUGCGUAACGCGUGGGAACCUGCCCUUAGGUUCGGAAUAACUCCCCGAAAGGGGUGCUAAUACCGGAUAAUGUCUUCGGACCAAAGAUUUAUCGCCUUUGGAUGGGCCCGCGUUGGAUUAGCUAGUUGGUAGGGUAAAAGCCUACCAAGGCGACGAUCCAUAGCUGGUCUGAGAGGAUGAUCAGCCACACUGGGACUGAGACACAGCCCAGACUCCUACGGGAGGCAGCAGUGGGGAAUAUUGGACAAUGGGCGAAAGCCUGAUCCAGCAAUGCCGCGUGAGUGAUGAAGGCCUUAGGGUUGUAAAGCUCUUUUACCCGGGAUGAUAAUGACAGUACCGGGAGAAUAAGCUCCGGCUAACUCCGUG
rnacentral:rRNA from 1 species